AAACUAUAGGUUAAAGAAGACCCGCCAAAAAUAAAAAGGUCAUUUGAUCAUUUCGUUUUUUUCGUACGUUUGACUUUGACAUAACUUGAAAAGAAACAGCUGUAGCCAAUGAAAAUCUCUGUUUUUGACAUUUUACCAUAGAGAAAGAUAAAAUAACCAAUCACAACGUUUGUUUACAAAGUAAUAUUUUUUGGGUACGUUAUUUUCCAUUACACGGAAAAUAAUCCUAUGGUCACAAUCACAAUAAUUUCUGUAUUCUAGGGUACGGCAGUGCCAUUUAUUAUUUACUUCUAAUGGGCAGUGCAAUCACUAGAAUAGAUGGCAAUAUGUACGUGACGGUAAAAAAAGGAAAUAGCAAUAUUAGAGCCCUCAUUAGAGCCAUAUUAACAAUCACAAAUAAUUAUUCUGAGUUGCAAGAUAUGCAGAAAUUUCAUUUGGGCUGUUUGGGCAUGGCUACCUUAGAUCUGCCUAACUAUGACCUACGUAGUCAUGCCGAUAGAUUGGUAGAGGUAGGUCCCAUUCGCCACCAAAAUGAACACUUUCUACAACUGUGCCAAGUUAAAUUCCUAUCUAGUUACCUACUUUGCCAAUCUUUUACUUAUGUUCAUAAGGUCAAUCAAUAUGCAAAGGUGAAGAGAGACUAUCGUCCCUAAAAUGACACAUUUGUUUCAGAAACUGCAUUUAUCUGGUUCCAACUUGGACCUGAUAAAACGUUUUAGGGUCAGCAAAACAAUUUUUAUUUAGGGAGUACUAUCAAAAUCACAACCAUUAGUAGAGGUGGAUGACAGUCUUCAUAAGGCGAAAAUUCAAAUGGAAGAUUACGAAUUAGAUCAUGGGUCCCCAUCCAAGUACUGGGACAUCAGCAACACCCAGGAGCCAGAAAAAGACAGCAGAGCUGAAGAAAAGGCAUUGAGCAAAGUUUUCAGGACUGAAAACUUUUUACGUAAACAAGGUCCUGCUGCACCUAUCGAGGAGUCGAGUGACGUCAUCGAGGGCAAUCAUCAUGAUGACGAUAAGGAUAUCGGAGAACCAGACGAUUUCGAAGUCAGAAGACGACGAACAUCGCACUUCCUUCGGUCCAGGCUGAAUGAGAGGCGAUCACACCUGGAAACGGUCAGGAGGACCAAGUUGAACUCACAAAGCAAAAUUAACCAUUUGGAACAUGUUAACAAGAUUCAAUAUUGAUUAUUGAACAGACUGAUUACCUGACUUACAAUAAGUAAAAGUAAACUAAAAUUAAAAACGUUUAUAUUAACAAAUUGUUUUAAUACAUUUUGUGAUGUGGCUGCAAAUUCCACACUAGGCGAACCUGUAUCGUGGAACUUAGGAUAGAUUUCUAAAGUUCCUGAAAUAAUUAAAUAUCUAUGCGGCA